CCAGCCGCACGGAGCCUCAGUUUCCCUGUAAGGAAACAGCCCAUCUCCGAGAAAAAUGCCCCUUUCCAUCCUCCGGGGACCCUUGCAGGCAAACUGCCAGGGAGCAAGGCAGCCCGGCUGGGAAGCCUGGGAAGCGCGAAGUCACAACUGCCUUCCGCUCUCCGGCGCUCGCUCCUCCUCCGUGGGGGAGGGAGGGGUCUGCGCCCAGGCGGGGAGGCGCCCCGGGGCUCCCGAGUUCCCGACCUUGACUGUGGGCAGGGUGCGAGAGGCGCCCCGGGCCCCAGAGGGCCGGAGGAGCCCCGGGCCACCACCGUCCUCGCAGCCCCAGCCCGCGCAGGCACCCGGGGUGCCCGCGCCUCCCGCUCCAGCGCCCCGGGGGGCGUGUGCGUGAGCGUCUCCAGUGGCAACGGCGCCGUCGCCGGGCAACCCGCGCGCCCCAGGCCCGCCGCGCCCCGGGGAGCCCCUUGGGGGAGGGGGGUGCAGAUGGCAGGGGGGACCCGCGGCAGCCCCUGGCUGGAGCUGCUCACGGGGUUGGGCCACCUGGGCCGCCCUGUGCCGGCACCCGCACGGAGGGAGGCAGGACACCCAGACCUUGCUGAAUCCCGGCAAGUCCUUUCCUUCUCUGGGGAACAGAAACAGGGGAGCUUCUCCGCCUUCUCCUGAGGCGGGGGUGAGGGGCAAAGGGGGCGCAGUCUGGGCCGCCUGGUGAGUUGCCAGUCGGCAGGAGAUCCCUCGGGGGCCAGUGGGGCACAGUGUCCGCGGCAGGGUGUGGGAUCCAGGUGAUGUCCAGCUCAGGACUGGCCCAUCUGGGGUCUUUACGGGCAGAGGGCAGCGUGGGGGACCCGUCUCCUGAGGCCCCAGAGCUCUGGCAGGGUUUGGGUUUCUCUCCCCUUGGGGUGCCUGCAUUUAGGGCAGCAUCGACCACUGCCUGCGCUGGCCUGAUUCGGUGCUUCCUCACCACCCCACGUCACACGCUCCAACCCCAAAGUCACCGGGUUCCAACAUCUCAACACCCCCCCCCCUCCCACCACCAAUCGAAAUCCAGAUCAGCGAGUGUGACCCAUGAACUUGGAGAGCCUCGGGAGUGGGAUCUGGCAGAGGGGACUUUGGCCGCUUCAGGGAUGAGAUACCGUGCCACCUCUCCCCGCCAGUCCCCAGCCCAGGUCAGCAGCACAGCCUGGGCGCCUGUCGUUGUCCCAAGGUUCCGGCUGCAGCCUCAGGACGGGGAGCCCAGGCCAAGACUGAUGGACAUGGAGUCUACCCCCACGGGCGAGGUGGGGGCUGACAGUGACUCACUAACUGGUCCACUGCCUGGCUUCAGAGGGGAUCAGCUGGGCCUCACCACUUCCCCGCUGGCUGACCCUGAGCAGCUGCUCAGAAGCAAUUUUUCAAGAACAAAAAGGUCAGCACGUCCAAGACUAAUCAAUUCUCGGAGAGCUCCUGCCGCCACCGCCGGGGAGCUGGGGACCGGUGGCCCCCGCCCUUCCCGCCGGCCCCCUCCCGCCAGCCCCAUCACUUUUAUUGCUUCGUGAUGGCUGUCAUUAGCGGGGUGUUGGAGACGCCCCACAGUGUUCUUACAACAUAAAACCCGGGCCGCUUGCAGAGGGGGGGCCGGGCGCAUUUAUGGCCACUCGCCGACUCUGGACGGUAACAGCCGAACUGAUGGAUCGCCCGCAAGGGGAGCCAGGACAGGAAGCAUCCAGCCACUUGUUCAAAGGCUCGGCAGGCCGGAGGAGCCGGGGCCCUGCCUGCCUGCUCUCAGGCCUGGUCCGCUUUCCCUCACCCCGCCCCCCUUCACUGUGACCUUGGGCACCUGCCCCCUGCCAUCCCUUCCAGGCCUUUUCCUCUUGCGGUCCCCCUGGUCCCCGCUGCAUCCCUGCUCACGGGCAGAAUAUUCCUUCCGGAGCAUCCCCUGCCCUCAGAAUGAGGCCAAGGCCCGUCCCUUCCAACACUGUGGGGUCUGCACUCCCAUUCCAGAGGGAGAAACUGAGGCCCGGUGUCACAGAAGUAGGAAGGGGCUAGAUGCAGAUUGGGUCGCAUGCACGAGCAGGUGCCCGGUGGCGAACAGGUCUGCGGUUCUAGGCUUUGCUUGUCCGUGGCCCCGGCUGUCCUCGUCCCCUGUCACCCUGCCAUCAGGUGCCCACACCAACAACAGCAGCUAAAAUGCACCGAGGCUUCCGGGCAGACCCCGCCCUUCGCGCACUUGGUAGGUGAUGCCUCUGGCUCCGGGACAGCACUGUCGUUAGCCACUCUUAGGCCCACUUUUCAGAUGAGGAAGCCCACACGGGGAGACCGAGCAGCGGACCCCAGUCCACACGGCUGGGAACAAGGGCUGGGGCCCAACUCUCUGCGUUUUGCUUUGUAAAGACUGGCUGAAGAUAUGAACUAUGCGGAAAAGGCCAAAUCCACAGGUGCCGAAGACAGACUGGUGGUGGCCGGGGACCGUGGGGAGGGGGGUGGGGAGAGACUGCGUAAUGGCCACGAGCUUUCCUUCUGAGGGCCCGAGAAUGUUCUGGAACCAGGCAGAGGGGUUGGUUGCACAACGUUGUGGAUGUGCUAAAUACCCCUGAGCGGUACAGUGUAAAACAUGGUUGAUUUCGUGUUAUGUGAACUUCACUCCAAUAAAUUAGUUUUUAAAAAAUG